UAGGGAAUCUUCCGCAAUGGGCGAAAGCCUGACGGAGCAACGCCGCGUGAGUGAUGAAGGUCUUCGGAUCGUAAAACUCUGUUAUUAGGGAAGAACAAAUGUGUAAGUAACUAUGCACGUCUUGACGGUACCUAAUCAGAAAGCCACGGCUAACUACGUGCCAGCAGCCGCGGUAAUACGUAGGUGGCAAGCGUUAUCCGGAAUUAUUGGGCGUAAAGCGCGCGUAGGCGGUUUUUUAAGUCUGAUGUGAAAGCCCACGGCUCAACCGUGGAGGGUCAUUGGAAACUGGAAAACUUGAGUGCAGAAGAGGAGAGUGGAAUUCCAUGUGUAGCGGUGAAAUGCGUAGAUAUAUGGAGGAACACCAGUGGCGAAGGCGACUCUCUGGUCUGUAACUGACGCUGAGGUUCGAAAGCGUGGGUAGCAAACAGG
rnacentral:rRNA from 1 species